UACAGAGGUCUCAAGCGUUGUUCGGAUUCAUUGGGCGUAAAGAGCGUGUAGGCGGCUAGAUAGGUCCGUUGUGAAAACUCGAGGCUCAACCUCGAGACGUCGAUGGAAACCAUCUGGCUAGAGUCCGGAAGAGGAGAGUGGAAUUCCUGGUGUAGCGGUGAAAAUGCGCAGAUAUCAGGAAGAACACCCGUGGCGAAGGCGGCUCUCUGGUACGUGACUGACGCUGAGACGCGAAAGCGUGGGGAGCGAACAGG
rnacentral:rRNA from 1 species